rnacentral:sRNA from 1 species
AUGCUGCAUUGUGUCGGGAGUUGCUGACAGCCAUGGCGCCGCAGGUCUGGCGUCGACGGACCCUGGAGCGGUGUCUGACGGAAGUCGGCAAAGCCACGGGUCGGCCCGAGUGCUUCCUCACGUAAGUGCGCAGAUCCCGGGCUCGGGGUGCGAGCGGGGUCUCACGUGGACGCGGGUUGCAGGCCUCCGGCAAAUUGUGGAGCUGGGGGAAGGAUUCAAGAGGGAUUGGCAUCAAAGUUCACUUCUUUAACAAAAGUGCUUUAUGACUUUAAUAAAAUAUUAGAGAAUGGUAGGAUCCAUGGAAGCCCCUUGCAAAAACUUGUGAUAGCAAAUUUUGAUGAUGAGCAGAUUUGGCAACAACUGGAAUUGCAAAAUGAACCAAUUUUACAAUACUUUGAGAAUGCAGUUAGUGAAACAAUUAAUGAUGAAGAUAUCAGUCUUCUCCCAGAGAGUGAAGAACAGGAACGUGAAGAGGAUGGUUCA